rnacentral:rRNA from 1 species
GACAGAGGGUGCAAGCGUUGCUCGGAAUCACUGGGCUUAAAGGGCGCGUAGGCGGGUCUGUAAGUCAGUGGUGAAAUCUCCGGGCUUAACCCGGAAACUGCCAUUGAUACUAUAGGUCUUGAAUUUUCUGGAGGUCAGCGGAAUAUGUCAUGUAGCGGUGAAAUGCUUAGAUAUGACAUAGAACACCGAUUGCGAAGGCAGCUGGCUAGAGGAACAUUGACACUGAGGCACGAAAGCGUGGGGAUCAAACAGG